AAUGGCAACUGGGGAAAGUUCAUUUCUUCUUGUUAAUGGGCAGUAGGUUACAUGCUCAUUGCACUUUUUCUUUCUUUCUUUCUUUCUUUUUUUUUUUUUUUUUUUUUUUAUAAAAAACUGGUUCCUUAAGAGGCUCUGCAAAUACUGGUUAGUAUUUCCACUAUAGAGUGCUUUUAGACAUAUUAUACUCAUUUUCUUUUUAAUUGACUAAAAUUCACUUUUGUAAAUGUUCAUCUUUCAAUGCAGGAAGACUUUGCACCUCCAUGGCCUAAGAGUUUGGUCACUUGGGUUUUUAUGGGAUAGUGCAGAUCAUUGCUGUAAUAGCCAUUUCUUGAAGGAGAAAAAGAAAAAGAUGAAGGGGGGAAAAGACAACAAAGCAAAACAAAACCCAACCCAGAAAUCACAGCGAAACCCGAGUGCAGCUUUUGUCCUAUCUGAAUUGCAGUGGAUGAUUUUCAAAGACUGUAAGUGGGUGAUGAUGUAAGAUAGCCUUUUAGCUCUCUUUUCAAAGUGUCUUCCAAUCUCGGCACUUAUUUCAAAACCUUACCUGGCGUGAGAGAAUACUGCCUUUUGUUUUCAUGGUACUGUUUUAUUAUUAUUAUUAUUAUCAUUACUAUAACGAUUGGUGGUUAGGGAUACCCCAGGGCUAGCUUUGGGAUUUGAGCCUCCUUCGGACACCAUAGGACGCCAGUGGACUCACUAUGGUUUAGCCAAGUUUUUAUGCAUAAUUCAUAAUACAUGCCACAGCGUGCACACUGGCGGCCGUCUCCUGUGCCUGCUUAGUCAGACACAUUUGCAUGCUGUAUUAUGGGACCAUAAUACAGAAUGCAUUUAGCAACAUUUUCUGUAUUAUCCUUAAUACAUAUUGCCACCGCGGUCCGUGUUGGAACAAUAGCAUGCACUUGUGCAUUCUGAGUUCAUAAAAACAAACGGAUAAUAAACGUCUUGAUGGAAGUAAGUAUUGCAUAUGUGUGCAAUAAAGUGCUUAAAGAAGUGCUCUUAUUACUUCUAGUUUGCUCUUUACUGUUUGAUUAUCUAGUUAUUUGUUUUAUGCCUGCUGGACUGAUGUCCUGAAAAUUUUUAAUUUUGCAAACAACAUAUCCACCUUCUUUCUCGCUCUCAUUAGUUUCCCUAAAUGAGUAUUUAAAACUGUAAUAUUUAAAAGAGACUGGGCGGACUAGCAAGAGCGUGUUUCCUAACUACCAAUUAAAGAUCUUUAGGGUGUGCGGUAUAAAGGGCCUGUGUUCCGUGAAUCGGCAAAGGACAGUGCCCUAUGAGAAAUGAAUGUUGGAUUGUUAACGUGUGCUCGUCCUGUGUCUGCGACAGAGGGACGGGGCUCCAGGCUUCUGUGUUAACAGCAGCUCCAACUCACAGGGAGAGGGGACACUUUAUCUUUCUUUUAUGUAAGGUGUCAUGCUCACCAGAUGGAAAUGCCAUAGUUUAAUUCCAACUGGACAUUUGAUCCUUCUUCAGAAUAGAAAGAAAAACAAAAACAAAAACAAAAUAACCCCGCACAAUGCAUGGAUGUGUCAGAGUGUGAAGAAAACAAUGUAUGUAUUUAAAACCAAAUCAUAAUUACUUGAAAAGUUUGACGUUUACUAGGGAGAUAGACUUCCACACUCACAGAGUUGGCUGUAACGGAAGUAACAGACACAAAAAUCCAUGCAGAAACUUCCUGGGAAUUGUCUAUUUGUCUGUCUGAGAAGGGGGCUGGUGGUGUCUCUGCAGUGGUGCCACCGGUCUCCAUGCAAUGAUAUCACUUUGAAAACCCUGCAUUUGCUCAGCCAUUCCAAGCCAACUGAUUUUCCUGGCCUGAUUUUAUUACCGUAGGAGGUCAGUCGGGAUGGAGUCCUAGAGUUAGAAGUGUGUAGAUACUCACUGGGAGGGUGGCAGGGGCUGAAGGGGUUUGUAGCCCCAUAGGAAGAACAACAGUAUAAACCAACAAGACCCUCCAGAGCUCCCAGGGACUAAACUACCAACCAAGGAGUACACAUGGAGGGACCCAUGGCUCCAGCUGCAUAUGUGGCAUCAGUGGGAGGGGAGGUCCCCUUGGUCCUGUGGAAACUCGAUGCCCCAAUGUAGGGGAAUGCUAGGGUGGUGAUGUGGGAGUGGGUGGGUAGGUGGGGAAGCUCCCUCAUAGAAACAUGGGGGAGGGUAGAUGGGAUAGGGUGUUUGCACAGGGGAAACCAGGAAAGGGAGAUGACAUUUGAAAUGUAAAUAAAUAAAAUAACC
rnacentral:lncRNA from 1 species